AGCAGCCGCGGUAAUUCCAGCUCCAAUAGCGUAUAUUAAAGUUGUUGCAGUUAAAAAGCUCGUAGUUGAAUUUCAGGCCUGGCUGGACGGUCCGCCCUUCGGGUGAGUACUGUCUGUGGUCGGGUCCUACCUUCUGGCGAAGCGUCAUGGCCUUAACCGGCCGUGGCGGGGAACCAGGACUUUUACUGUGAAAAAAUUAGAGUGUUCAAAGCAGGCAAUCGCUUGGAUACAUUAGCAUGGAAUAAUGGAGUAGGACAAUGGUUCUAUUUGUUGGUUUCUAGGACCGUUGUAAUGAUUAAUAGGGAUAGUUGGGGGCAUUAGUAUUCAAUUGUCAGAGGUGAAAUUCUUGGAUUUAUUGAAGACUAACUACUGCGAAAGCAUUUGCCAAGGAUGUUUUCAUUAAUCAAGAACGAAAGUUAGGGGAUCGAAGACGAUCAGAUACCGUCGUAGUCUUAACCAUAAACUAUGCCGACUAGGAAUCGGGCGAUGUUGAAAAAAUGACGC
rnacentral:rRNA from 1 species